GGCUGUGCAAGCCAGGCUAACAGGACUGAGAGCUUUAGGGGUUCUCCUAUUUCCAUCUCCCGUCUCACCAUAGGAGCACUCUGAUUACAGAUGUAUGCUACUGCAUUUGGCUUUACUUGGGUUCUGAGGACCUGAAGUCAGAUCCUCACGCUUGCAUGGAAAGGCCCUGCGAGGACGUGGUGAGAAGACAGCAACUUACAUGCAAGGAAAUGCCCUCAUCAGGAGCUUGAUUAGUAAGAACCUUGACCUUGGAUUCUAGCUUCCAGAAUGGCAUUACAUAUCACUGGCUUCUUUGAAAAAUGAAGUAACAUCGCCCAUGCUGACCAGGUCUAUGGAGAUGAUGUAUUCAUGGGACUCAGUUUCCUCAUCAGUGAAGUCAUUAAGUGAAGAUUCAGAGAAAAAUGAGGAAGAGGAGCAGAAAGAAGAGGAAGAGGAU